GGUCACAUCACAUUGAAACACUUGUUCCCGUAAGAUCACCGAAGUUAAGCAACGUCGAACUAGGUCAGCACUUAGAUAAAUGUUCACUUGUGAAUACCAGGUGCUGUUA